CGGGAUUGCCUUAGUAACGGCGAGUGAAGCGGCAAAAGCUCAAAUUUGAAAUCUGGUACCUUCGGUGCCCGAGUUGUAAUUUGGAGAGGGCAACUUUGGGGCCGUUCCUUGUCUAUGUUCCUUGGAACAGGACGUCAUAGAGGGUGAGAAUCCCGUGUGGCGAGGAGUGCGGUUCUUUGUAAAGUGCCUUCGAAGAGUCGAGUUGUUUGGGAAUGCAGCUCUAAGUGGGUGGUAAAUUCCAUCUAAAGCUAAAUAUUGGCGAGAGACCGAUAGCGAACAAGUACAGUGAUGGAAAGAUGAAAAGAACUUUGAAAAGAGAGUGAAAAAGUACGUGAAAUUGUUGAAAGGGAAGGGCAUUUGAUCAGACAUGGUGUUUUGUGCCCUCUGCUCCUUGUGGGUAGGGGAAUCUCGCAUUUCACUGGGCCAGCAUCAGUUUUGGUGGCAGGAUAAAUCCAUAGGAAUGUAGCUUGCCUCGGUAAGUAUUAUAGCCUGUGGGAAUACUGCCAGCUGGGACUGAGGACUGCGACGUAAGUCAAGGAUGCUGGCAUAAUGGUUAUAUGCCGCCCGUCUUGAAACACGGACCAAGGAGUCUAACGUCUAUGCGAGUGUUUGGGUGUAAAACCCAUACGCGUAAUGAAAGUGAACGUAGGUUGGGGCCUCGCAAGAGGUGCACAAUCGACCGAUCCUGAUGUCUUCGGAUGGAUUUGAGUAAGAGCAUAGCUGUUGGGACCCGAAAGAUGGUGAACUAUGCCUGAAUAGGGUGAAGCCAGAGGAAACUCUGGUGGAGGCUCGUAGCGGUUCUGACGUGCAAAUCGAUCGUCGAAUUUGGGUAUAGGGGCGAAAGACUAAUCGAACCAUCUAGUAGCUGGUUCCUGCCGAAUUUUCC
rnacentral:rRNA from 1 species